CCAGACAGGGCUGGAGGAGCAAUUGGAGGAGCCCAGCAGGCUGGACACAUGUGGAGAGUUGAUAUGGAAACUGAGCCCUCACACAUGGACUGAAUUCUGACAAGCAGAGGAUAAAGGCAGAACAACAUGACUGAAGGGAAGAUGCUUUUGUGAUAUAUCCCAGCAUGCUGAUGACCCCAAGGAGGACCACUGGAUACCUAGCAAGGAGCUGGCUGCAGCAUACCAUGAAUCCUCACAGCAACUUAAUGAGGUAGGUGUUACUUCAGAUAUUUAAGCCAAUUAUCCAUGGUGACAAUGGCUUAAAAAUUAUAGUAGUUGAAUUGAAAUUGGGAUAGUCAUUUCUGUAUAUGAUUUUCAUACUUUUCCUGCUACAUCUCACUAUGCCUGAAAAAAAAAAGUAUAUAUUGAGAACCUUUUUGGUAUGAAGCAUUGAAGACCAAUUGGUAAUACCCACAAAUAAUGAAGAAGACAUACAUGAAACCUUAACACUUGGCCUUAUGUCGAUUUUCUACUCAUCCACCUGGGACGUGUGACAAAAGUUUUCAGGAUUUCUGAGAAAUGUAAAAUAGGAAGAAAUUUCCUAAAAACACAAUGUAGUGGAAGGGAAACAUCUGAUGUAUCCUCCAGGUUUUGUUCUGUUUUGUUUUUGUAUGUACAUACUCAUUAUGUUACUGCUUAAAAGAGUUGGGAACUGAAUCAUGUCUAUAAUUUUUUUGAAAUGGGAAAGAAUUAAAUGCAAUGCACCCUUCCCUGUCAUUCCACUGAAGAAAUCUGAGCCCAUUCCACUUUUCUAGUUUGUCUCAGAGAGAAUUUGAUAAUGCCACAAGAUAAUAUAAGACAACAAAGAAAUGGGCCCAUUUGCAAAUCCCACCCAAGGUGAUCAAAGGUGUUUCAUUUUCUUUUGAUUGAUUUCUCAUCUGUUCCUAUUCUCUGUUUAAUUGGAAGGAAUUGGCUAAGAGUGCUUAGUGUCUAAACCUAUUAGAAUCAAUUCCAAAUUCUGUUUACCAAACUCAGAUGGGUACUCAGGCUCAUAGUCUUAAAAAAAAAAGCCUAGUAAGCCAUACUUCUAAUUAUGUUACCUGGAGUAAGUAGUUUUCCUAAAAUUGUGCCAAAGUAGAGUCUCACAAACAUUUAUGACAUGGCCUAGUAGAUGCGCAUAGAGGUUUUAAUGCCUCAAUGGCCUGAAAGAAUGAGAAGACCUCUCCAAGAGGCUAAUUUACCACCUGCCUAACACUGUGUCCAUGACAGUUGCACAGUCAGUGGAAAGAGAGCUAAAUUGCCUCUUUGCUCACAAUCUGUGGUCAAACUGAUUGCAUCCUGGGUUACAACGGCAUUGUGAAGAGAGAGGCUUAGAGGCUCUUAGAAUUUAAACUGUUAGUGAAAGUCAGCAUGUCCCAAAAUGACUGCUGGAUUGUGUGGAUUCUGAAUAAAAAUUCUAGCAAAUCUACAGGUUAUGGAUAAUGAGUAGAAGGUAGGUGAUGGGAAAAAUAUUGUCCUGUAGGUCUUCAUUUUCUAAUGCCAAAUGUGUGUCUUGGCUGACUGGGCAACAAGGUCAAUAGAACCCAGGGGCUACUGUCUUUGGAGUCAUUGAGAAUUGAUGAGGAAAGAGCCAGUAUCUCUCCUUUCAGAGCCCUAUGAGAAGCUCUCCCCAAACUCCUUCACUGUUCAUGUGGGCAGAUCAGUCAUGGCCACAGUAGAGGAGAUGUAUCAAGGUAGUUAAGCUUGUGAAUUCUGGAAUCAGAGAGCUUGGGUUGAAAUUCCAGCUGUGUGUCCUUGGGCAAGUCACUUAACCACUUUGUGACUAAGUUUUAUCAUCUGUAAAAUGGGGAUGGUAAUAGUACUCUAGUCAUAGACCUGUAUGUAAUAUGCUGAGAGGUAAAUGCUAUAUGGGUGCUCAACACUUUCAACACCUCACCCAGAUAAAGCUGCCCAAACUGAGAGCCAUAGGAAAUGUCAAGGUUCUGGCUGUAGCUCCUUGGCUUUUUCACUCUGCAUGCUGAAGACUGCUGUGACAACCACCAGCCUGAAGACUUUUUCAGCUCACAGGUUGGCCUGCCUGAAAGACAGGUCAGAAGUUCUGAAGAGGUAGUGUUCCUGAAAUAAACCCUAAGCCAAAGACAGAAAGGAUUAUGGUGGAUAUUCAGCUCCCUUAUCGUUCAGUUGAGAUGAAUCUGGGGUAUGUUCCAAACUGUCUCCUGAGGCACCCCAGUGGGAUUAAGCUCCAGUUACCCACAAUGGUAACUGUUUACUGGCUUUCUUUCCUUUCUUUCUUCCUUUCCUCACUACUCAAUUUCUUUACUGUUGUUUUCUGGGAUCACCUUGCAAAUAAACUACUUGCACUUGAAUCCUUUUAUCGAGAUCUGCUUCUGGGAGAACCCAAAUCACGGCAGGUUUCGUGGAUUUUUUGGAGUGUCAUAAAUAACUAUUGAAUUGGAUGCAUUAUUUUUAAAAAUUUCAUUGAGACAAUAUACACUCUUUGGAAACUUUAAAAGGCUAGUACAAGUUUUUAUGCUUCUGUGUUUGUUAUUGUUUUAGUGAGAAAAGAUCUGGACUUAGAGGACUCAAGUUGCUGCUAACUAGCUGUAUUUUUUUAAAUCUCUGUUUUAACAUAUGAUACUAUGUACACAUUAUUGUAAUAAUUAGUUAAUAUAUGUAAAAUGGUUCCAAAAGGCCACAUUUCACUGGGGUUUUGUUUUGGUUUUGAAAUUUUUGCAAGUUGACAUGGCUUCUUCAUUUCUCAUUACACAACAUAGAGGAUUCAUUAAUAUUAAAAAGAGAACUAAUUUGUCUAUAUUGUUAUGACCUAUCUUCGGUUAUUCAAUUUUGAUUAUCAUUUCCAUUUCAACUUUUCAACAAUCUUAUCUUCCUUGCCAUUUUGGCAGUCACCUGAAAACCUAGCCAAGGUUUGGAUGUCUUGUGGAAGCAGGGCAAUGGAUUUUGGAGCGGUGUAUUUUAGAUCCUGGUCUUUAAGCUCUAAGUUGUAAAUUGCAUGAGACAUUUCAAUUAAUAAUGUUAAGAAUUUUUUUUUUUCCAUUAUAUAAGCAAUUCAUGUACUGUUUGACUAAUGCUUAUGCCAAGUAUGAGUUUACCAAACUACUAAGCCACAGGCAAAUUCAAACCUUACAGCCUUUUCCUGUGAUUCAAAAAUAAUGAAAAUAAAUAUAUAUUCAUAAAAAGUAAAGGAACAUUACAUUGCUUGCUAUAUUAGCUAGUUCAAAAAGCACUUUUCAUUAAAACAUUUAACUACUCACUUUAAAAAAAUUAAAUUUAGCUGGGCAUAGUGGCAUGCCUCUGUAGUUUCUCCUACUUGGGAGGCUGAGGCAAGAAGACCACUUGAGGCAGGGAGUUUGAGACCAGCCUGGCGCAAGAUGGCAAGAUCCUGCCUCUAAAGAAAAAAGAAUUACAUUUAAAAAGUUAAAAAAAGAUGCAAAAUGGCAAUAUAAAUAAUAGGGGGAAUGGCUUAAUUGCUACCAUUGAAAGAGAACAGCAAUUGAUAUUUUGAUCUUCUUUCUAUUUUAUAUAUAGGUUUUGUUGUUUUUUUACUGGGUUGAUUUUAUCAUGUAAUGUGUAUUUCACCAUCAUGCACAUAUCUAAGUGUAUGUCUGGGGGGUUAAUCAGCAUGUAUGUCUCAGUGCAAAGCACUUUCUUCCAGGUUCUCAUUCGCCUUUUAGCUUCUCUUUUUCCAGUCUGGUUUCCUGCCCCUAGCCCCACCCCUACCUCCUAACUUCUCAGGUUGUCAUCCAUACAGCAACCAAGUGCCUGAGUUUUGUCAUUUUGGUACCAGAGCUACAGUCUGGAGACUCUGCUUCUUUAGGCAGCCUGACUGCUUCUCAUCCCUGGUGCUAUGAUGGCAACUUUGGGAUGUAUUUCUCCCUUCUUUCCUUCCCUUUCCCUUAGACAGGGAUUUAUGAAGUGAGGUUAUUAGGAAAGGGCAAGGUCCCUGUAGGGCCCUGCCAGCUCCACUCUUCCCUUUAAAAUUAGAUAUCCAUUUUUUAAAACUUAUAAUUUUAAAAAAUGGUUAUAAGCAUCAAUACAACAAGGUGACUGGUGGGGUAGAAUUUUAAAAUAUGAUGUAACCUCUUCUUGUUCUAGAGGUUAAGCCAGCAAGUCAGCUUAGGACAUAUUUUUCUAAUCGUGGGGGGAAAUGGCCUGGCUUACCUUAGUUACAUAACCAUGUGUGCAGCCUGUUCUGGCAUUUACAUGCCCCUCCCUGAAACAAAGCAGAGGAUUCUGGUUUGAGCAACGUUUUCCUUCCUUUCCUCCCUACCCUUCCUCACCCUACCUUUUGUGAAGGUUGUGAAUCAGUUUUUCAUAAGAAGUCUAGAAGCCUUGUGAGAGUGAAGAGACUCCAACCCCAGCUGUUUCUCCUUAAGAUUCAACAUUAGAGAAAUUUGGAAGGAACCACAGUGUUCCUGACUGAGACCUCUUGGUGGGAAAGGAACAUGACAAUGAUAGAUGAGAACAUACAGUGAGAGAUAGGAAGUUGGGGCUUCCCGAAGUUUCCAAAAGGAUCUAAGACAGGUCUGUCUUUGCCAGACCCUGUACUGAGCCUUCAUAUGGUCCCAGCCGUGGCCAGCCUAGUUCUGACAUCGCGACUGGGCAACAGUGGGAUGGCUCAGCGUUUGAAAUGAGUGGUGACCUCCAUGGUGGCCUCAGGAUCUAAAUGUACAAGGGCUUCACUGUAGCUGUGGACCCUUGUCCAGUGUCUGCAGACCCUGAAGUGACAAUGCCAACAGUGCUGCCUCUGACUCAUGGUUCUCUCACAUUUAGAAGAGUCAUCGAAGUCCUUUGGUCUACAUCAUUGUGAUUGAGGGGAUAUGGGAUACCAAACUGCCUGCCCACACAGGCUUCUGGGGUUUUACAUGAUUCAUUAGAAUAAUAAAAAGGAUGUGGCUACGUUUAUACCUCCAGGCUGGUGAAGUAAGUCACUAUUACUCAAGCAUUCUUCAUGUUAUUACAAACAUUAAUGCCUGCCUAGCCAUGUACUGAGAGAGUGUACUAUAUUUUAUUUUCUAAUUUCUCCUUUAUUGGAAAUUUAACUCUUUUGCAUGAGACAUUUCUGGUAGAACCUAGUAUUUGUUUUAGCACUAUUAGUGUAAUAGUAGUAGGCAUAUAUUUUCUAGUUGCUAAAAAUAUGCAGCUCCAAACAUUAUUUUUUGGGGUGUGAAGUUAACUUCCUUCUCUUGUAUUUGAGGGGCAUUAGGGGGUUUUGUCAAGAGUGGGGCAUGAGGGAGAGGAGGCUCAGAGAACUAAGAGUGUACACCAUGCUUGCUGGUCCCGGGUUCUCAAAGGCAUCUUUGACCAGAAGGGGGGUCAAGGAUAGUACUAUCUGUUGGGAGGAAGCCACACAUCCAGUGGAUGUAAAAGAGCAUGACUGUCCCCAGUGAGACCCUAGUAAUAAGCAGGGCAUGGCACAUGGUAGGUGCUUGGUACUUACUCUUUUUUAAUUUUUGGAUGGUUGAAUAUUUCCACUAAGCAUUCAGAGAACAGAUUAUAAACCUAUGUAAGCAUUCCAGAAUUAUAAGAUUAGACUUGCAUAAAGUUGCCAUGUAAUUUAAAAAAUGCUCUUUAACCUAUGGAAAGGUUUUUUUUUUCCAUGAAAAAAUUGGUAAUGAUAUGUACACUAAUCUAUAUAAAGAGCAUAAGAUUAUAAUACAAAUAAAUCCAUGUGAUUCCUUCCCGUGUGAUGUUAUGUUGUUUCAAGAUAAUAUUUUUCCCCAUAGUGGUUAUGUGAUCUUCUAUAUCUGGAUGUAAACAACAACAAUAACAACAAAAAGAAACAAAAAAA